ACUUUUUUUAGUUCAUUUCAGUAUCUAAAUACUUGAAAUAUCCACCCUGUAAGAACCCAACCCAGGAAAGAUUUGUUCUGAAUUUUUUACAGCACAGCUCGCAUUUAUAUCUUUGGACAUGCCGAUGUAGAGACGAAGGCGCUGGAACUUAGUGGAGGUCAUGUGGAAGGCUUGACUACUAUUGUAGUUUACUCGGGUUUUCCCAUUGCCUAAAAAAAAAUCUUAAGUGUGGCUACACUGUCCCGUGUUUUAUUGGAUCGCUUGGCAGAGGAGAAGCGCUUGGCUAAGAAGCAGAACACUGCCAAGUAAAAAUCUCUUCUCUUUGGAGAAGACAUAUGCUCUUUAAUUUGUGGUAUUAACUUAUGAUGCAACGUAGCCUUUUUUCUUUUCUAGCUCAGUAAUCAUUAAUAUGUGAACUUGGUUGGCUAAAUCAAUAAGCAAGUUUUUUAGUUAGCAAUUUAUUGUGCACUCACGUUAGUAGUUAGCCUGUCAUGUAUUAGUUCUCGAGAUAUCUUUAAGACAUUUUACCUGUUUCUUUGGUGUAAAUUUCUUGUAUUUCACAACUUGAGAAGAGAAAUGAUAGUUUUGGAGAAAACGGUUAACUGAAAUUAUCGCGUCGCGUCUUUUUAAUCAGAAAUAAUAGAGAAGCGUACCAUACUAACAUAAGUAUGUAAUCGUUCAUUCAGUUGAUUCAUACUUAUGUUAGCAUUGUUUUAAAAUCAUUUUACAGAUGAAUUUAUUGAUUGAUUCAUUGGAUAUGAGAAGAGAGAAGAACUCUUCGUUGUGCAAACACAUGGAAUUGAAAACAUUUAGAGUAACUCAUUAUAUCAAAGACCAAACAAAAGGCUUUCAGUAAAAAAAAACCAACGGUCUACAAACUUACCACCAUCAAGGCCAGAUAAAACUUUAUUCGAAAAAGGGACAAAUUUAAGACAUCAUUACAUCAUUUGAGAUCGAGGUCAUCUUUUCUCUUACGGCGAUUUAGGCUUUGGACAUGUGGAUGAUCAAGUCGACCACACGGGUACUGUAACCCCAUUCGUUGUCGUACCACGACACAAGUUUCACGAAGUUGUCACUCAAUGCGAUUCCA